rnacentral:rRNA from 1 species
AUGGCAUCUAUAACCAUGCUUGUUACUUGGACCAUUUAUAUUGAAAGAAAUGUAAGGGUUUUCUGUCACAAUUCCACGGCACCAACAAUCCUUAUGGAGAACAUCAAGAAGGAAGCAAGACUUUGGGUCAUCGCGGGUGCAAAACGUUUCGGUCAAAAGUUGCGGGAAGAGUAA